AGCGCUGUCAGAUCAGAGUGUAUAUUUAUUCCAUAUUGUGGCAUCAUGAGAGGGCGUGUCAUUGAUGGGAGGUACGUCCCCUCAAAAUGGCUGCAACGCACUACAAAACAGAUGGCUGCCGCACAAGAAGACUACAACAACCGGGUCGCCGCCGACUAAAGCCGGCUGCGGCUAAUCGACUUGGUGGCGGGUUUAUUUAACGAGGCCUUCUCUGAAGGGAGGGGGUUAGAUGUGAAGUGAUUGUGUGCUUGUCUAAGUGAAGCUUUGUAAACUAUUACUUUGGCGGUUGUGAAACUUUCUGUUACCUUUUUAAAGACUGCAUUGUUAAAACUUUUUGGUUGAUUAUUAAAAAGCCCACCACCUUUUGGAAAACUGCAUGGACCUGCUUUUGUUUGAGCGCCCCCACACGCUGAUGAAGAUUCCCAGCCUCUCAUGAUGCCACAAUAUUUAACCACAAAUAUUCAGUGACUAGCAUUUUCAUUGUUAUAUCAUUGUUAUAUUUAGGCUAUUGUUAGCUUUAUCUUGUUGCUUUGAUGGUAUAUGAAUUUUAGGUAGUGAAAAAAUAUUUUUUGCACUCCCAGAUAGAUGCUAUUGUCCAGUGUGUCAUGCCUGGGGAGUAUUGUUGCAGAUGAGACUGCAGGGAGGAGGUGCUUAUGAAAUGGACAAUUGUGGCACUUAGAAACUCCGUAUUUUGCAUCAGUGUCUUGUAUUGUAUCCUAAAGGCUGAAAUCCUGAAUUAUGGGGUUUUCACUCAUUGUUUGGUUGCAGGAGCACUAAAUGUCUGAGGUGAGCAAUCUCUGGAUGUGAUAGUGUUCAAAUCUGUUCUAUUUAGUUUAUACAUCACUGGUGAUGGGCCCAUUUGAGUGGCUGAGUGUGUGUUCAUUGGUCACCACUGAGGCUUAAGGAUGUGAUCUGAAACCCAGCUGUGAGCUGCUUGAGGCGCCUGCAAUCCCAGAGAUGGCAUUAGUCUUUCCCCCAGGAUACCAGGGUACUGCAUAUGCAUAUGGCUGUCCGUGAGUGACUUUUACUGCAUUGAAGAUUCUAAUAUUUUGAUAAGUGCAAAAGCAAUAGACAAUUAUUAGUUAGCAAUUUAAGUGUAAGAAAAUGGUAGUUUAAAAUACGAAAAGAUCUGCACUUGAGGGCGAGGCGGGAUUUGACUGUCCAACCUUGCACUUUGCAGUCAUUUAUUAAGAAGACAGGUCAGUAAGCACAGCUGAGCUCCGGUUGUAUCCAUAUGGCCUGGCGAUAUUGUAGGAGGUUAACUGAACGUGUAGAUGGUAUGUCAUAAUGCAGUGUAUACGUUCAGUGAACGGCGGGUAGAUGUGGUGCAAAAGCAAGAGUUGAGAAAUAAAAGACAAUUAUUAGUGAGCAAAUGAGCAUGUAUAAGAAAUUCCGUUCGGGGGGGGGCUUGAACUUGCGACUCAACAAUCCGCAGACUGGUUUUGGCGAAGAAUUGGCUGGUGUAGGUAAAAUGACCAAUGGAGAGACAUAUUCUUUGUGGGCUAGGAGGUAGGAAAAAGGAGACGUGGACAUGUGAAGUUGUUAAUGAAUUAUGUCUGUUGAAAUGGGGUCAGAAUGUACCAAAAUUAAUGUUUUUAAAGGCUGAGAGUCUGGUUUUUGCAGUUAUUUCUGUGGGGAACCCUGAAAAGUGCCAAACUCUCAGUGCUGUAUAGAUAUGGGGCAUGCCGCCCCGCCAAGGCAUAACUUGGUGGGAUGGCAUACCUUCCAUCCCAAUGUACCUGAGUCACUAAAAGGGGCAAUUAUUAAGCCAUCAUUGAAGAAACCAAAUCUAGAACCUGACAAAAUGGGAAAACUAUAGACCUAUUUCAAACCUUCCAUUUUAUCGAAAUUAUUGGAAAAAACUGUUGCUAAGCAACUUAGUGCACACCUUAGCUCUAAUGGUAUCCAUGAAAUCAUCCAAUCAGGGUUUAGACCCUACCACAGCACAGAAACCACACUUAUGAUCUGCGAUUGUCAGCCGACCAUUACUCUUUGUUGGUUCUUGUACUCCUCGAACUGAGUGCAGCUUUUGAUACAACAGAUAAUGAAAUUCUACUGGACAGAUCCCAGGCCUGUGUUGGACUUCAUGGACAGGCACUCGCAUGGUUUAGAUCAUACUUAUGUGACAGGAAACAGUUUGUUAAAUUAAAAGAAGAGUGCAGCUACUCAACAAUGAAAUACGGUAUUCCACAAGGAUCAGUGCUAGGACCAGUACUUUUCUCACUAUAUAUGCUACGACUUGGCAAUAUUAUCCGGACACAUGGCAUAGAGUUCCACUGCUGUGCGGACGAUGCACAGAUUUAUAUUUCAAUGAAACCUGGUGAAGCACUGCCGCUUUCACGGCCUGUAUUGUAGAUAUCAAGGUUUGGAUGCUUUCUAAUUUUCUGCUCCUGAACUUGAAUAAGACCGAAAUAUUGGUUUUAGGUCCCAAAAUAUUAAGGGAGAAAAUGUCUACUCUUACCCUAUACUGUGAUGGUUGUUUGGCUGAACCAGACAUGGUUGUUAAAGACCUUGGUGAUUACCACUGAUCCUGAUUUAACCUUUGACAUGCAUAUAAAAACCAUAUCCAGAAUUGCUUUCUUUCAGUUAUGCAACAUAGCUAAAAUUAGGCAUUUCCUGUCAGUGGGGGAUGCAGAGAAAUUGAUCCAUGCUUUUGUUACGUCUAGGCUAGAUUACUGUAAUGCCCUGCUAUCUGGCUGCCCUAAUAACUUGUUAAAGAGUCUUCAGCUUGUGCAGAAUGCAGCUGUUCUUCACCAGAAGUAAGAAGUGUGAACACUAGUGUCGCUUCACUGGCUACCCAUUAAGCAUAGGAUAGAAUUCAAGGUUUUGCUCCUGACCUUUAAAGCUCUGCACGGACGUGCACCAGUGUACAUAACCAACCUGCUCCUACCUUGUAAGCCCACAAGGUCACUUCAUUCUCAAGAUGCAGGCUACUUGGUAGGCCCAAGAAUUUCUAAAAACCUUAAAGCUGACAGAGCUUUCUCCUACAGAGCCCCACUACUGUGUAAAAGCUUCCAAAUUUAUAAGGGAGUCGGACACAGUCUCAAUAUUUAAAUCUAGAAAACGCACAUUUAUGCUCAGGCUUAUCAGUUAUAGUCUGGAGACAGGGUGGGAGAAGCCUGUAGUCAUAGAGCAUUGUGGGGUGGUAUCCUUUCCUUACUGUCACCUGUCAAUCAGCUGUUUCCCCAUGUUACAUGGGCUGGCUCUUUAAUAGGCGGGUAUGGUUGUCCCCCCUCAUGACAGCAUGGGCUCUCCAUCCCUGUCCUAGUAGCUAUGCAGCCACAGACUAUUCCUAUUGUCCCUUAUGUCAUGGGUGGAGGGUGUAGUUGCUGAUGAGUCUGCAGGGAGGGGGUGCUUGUUAAAAGAACGGCCAGAGCGAAAAUGGUGCCGCUGCGAAACUCCAUAUUCAGCAUAGUUGGUGUGUAUCGUCUACUAAUGACGAUACAAAGCAUUUCUGUUUUCAAAUCGUACUUUGGUUGCAGGAGCAAUGAAUGUCUGAGUUGAACAAUCCAGGCACGCCGGCGUGCCGACCACUAGGGGGUGUGCGCUAAGUGGUUAAAACCCUAGGUUAGCCUCCACCCUAAUUAAAAAAUGAAACCCUAACCCUAACCCUCAUUAAAUACAUAAAACCCUAGGUCAGCCUCAACCCCAAAAAAAAAAAAUGAAACCCUAGGUCAACCCUAAUUAAAUAAUUAAUACACAACAUCAGCCUCAACCCUAAUAAAAAAUAAAACCCUCAGUCAGCCCCAACCCUAAUUAACAAAUAAAGCCCUAAGUCAGCCCCAACCCUAAUUAAAAAUCUUGGCUUUUCUGUGUGGGGUUUGCAUGUUCUCCUCGUAUCCGUGUGGGUUUCCUCCGGGUACUCCGGUUUCCUCCCACAGUCCAAAGACAUGCAGGUAGGCUUAUUGGUCACUCUAAAUUGCCCAUAGGUGUGUGUGUGUGUGUGUGUGUGAGUGAAUGGUAUCUGUGCCCUGUGAUACAUUGGCGGCCUGUCCAGGGUGUAUUCCUGCCUCUCGCCCAAUGCAUGCUGGGAUAGGCUUCAGCAACCCCUGUGACCCUGCCCAGGAUAAGUAGGUAUAGAUAAUGGAUGGAUGUUGGGAGGAAAUAUUUAGCCUCUUAAGCAUCAUUUUAUCAGAAGGUAAAUAAUCACUCAAAACAAAAACAAAAUUAAGAGAAAUUAACAGUGUAUUAAAAUCCUGCAUCCAAUCCCACAUUACAUAGGGGCCCCCAGGACCUAAUUUGAAAACCAUUAAUAUAAAGUAGAAAAGGCUGCUCAUGUGUAAUGUAUGCAAUUUUAGCACAAAGUGCAAUUAGUCACAAAACAGAUGUGCCAUUGCACCUGUGCACAGAGUUCUCCAGUACAGGUGGGGUUGUCAAUCCCCCCUACUUCUGCACCCAGAAAAAUUCCUGGAGAUUUUUGAAGAUUUUGUUUAAAAAUGUGCUACUAAGAUAACACCCGGAGUAAUUACAAUUCCUUGUCAAGCUGUCGGGUCAACUGUCAUUUUCUAUUGGGUUCUUGUUCAUUUUCUGCUGACCCAACUGGAUGCUGCGACGCAGAUAACGAUGAGCUAACAUGAACUUUGUGCACCUGGUUAUUUUUUUCAGUGUUUGUAAUGAGGAGGUCAGGGACAGAUACUAUAAAACCAUGUUGACUUUGAAUAAGCAGAAGCAGUUUGCUUGCGAUGAUAAGCUUAGGAUGGAUGUUACACUAUCCAAGAUCAAAAAACUCUGUUUUAUAAUUUACGCAACAGCUGUGGAAAAUUCCAGCUUGCAGAAAAAAGAAAUGAGCAGGUCCUAAUUUUGAACUUUAAAAGGGAGACAGAAAACAUAGGUGUGCCCAGCGGCUGGGCAUGGGAUUUGGAAGAGAGGCCACAGAGAAAUGUUCCCUAUAAAUAAAGUAAUGGGGAGAAAACAUUUCUUCAUACGUUUUCAAUGGAGAUAUAUUUGCCUGUUCGGUUACCGUAUUGUAGCGAGAGAAGAAAAAAAAUAAAUUCGAUUGUUUGUGGCAUUGUUGGACCGAAAUGUGCAGUAUCCCUAAGAGAUGCUUGGGACCUAGAUGCACCAUGUUUGCUGUUACAUGACAAGCAUUCUGAUUGGCUGUCUUUCUCAAAUGGAUUUUUGUCCAAUGACUUCUGACCCUAACAUCCUAAAUGGUAAAUGGACUGCAUUUAUAUAGCGCUUUUAUCCAAAGAGCUUUACAAUUGAUGCCUCUCAUUCGCCAGAGCAGUUAGGGGUUAGGUGUCUUGCUCAAGGACACUUCAACACGCCCAGAGCGGGGUUUGAACCGGCAACCCUCCGACUGCCAGACAAUCGGUCUUACCUCCUGAGCUAUGUCGCCUGUCUGUUGUUUGGUCGGAAAAUCAUCAAUAACAACAUAUAGCCCAACGUAUAUUUUUGAAGAGCUUAAGAAGACUGGCUGGAUUGAUAUAGUUAUUACUAAGGCCCAAAAUGUUUUUAAUAUACAGUUGUCUUUAACAAUAUCAUUGGACCGCUUUAAAAUUUUUUUCUUGAGCAACAUUUAAGUCAAAGUUUAGAUAAUAUUCCCACCAUUUUUCCCUAAUACCAUCAUUUUCAGGGUGACGUACGCUUACAAUUUUUUAUGGUCAUAAUUAUGGAACAGUUUGCAGUCAUUUCAGUUGUUUUUUUAUUAAGACAUUAAUACAUGAAUAUUGAUCAUGUAAAGACACGAUAUGGGGACAUAGUCAUUUGCACAACAUGAUUUGAGAGCUUCUCAGUUCACACCAGAGGACACAGAGCCUCUCAUCCCCCAGAUGAAUGCAGCAACAAAAUAUUUUUAUAGUUUAUAUUUAAUAUAGCUGUCUGAAGGUUUUUUUCUUUUUCUUUUUUUUAAUCAAAUGCUUUUAUUUUGUCUCUGGUGUAGUGUACUCUGUGUGAGGCUUAAGGCUGCUUAAGGGCUAAGGGCUGUGUAUUCAUGCAGUUAAUUUGCAUGUCAUUAAUUUGAACUCAGGUCUCGAACUCUCACCAGGGACUUGGACCAGAAACUUCAACCAACUGAAAUUCCAACACCCAACAGCUAGGCUACCCAAAAUUAGUUCUAUGUUUUAUCCAAGUUGUUUCCAGUCCUUUUCUUGUUAAGGCCAUGGUCCCAAUUACUGAAUUUCAUCAAGUCAAGACUUGUCUUAGUAAACCGCUGAAACCAAUAUUUUAUCAAGCUUUCUGGUUAGAUGGUAAAUGUCCAAGAUUUUUUGUUUCUAGUUCAGUAACCUCAUCUUUCAAAAUCAAGUUUCACAACUUGCGGGGGAGUUGGUCGUUGCACUAAAGACUUCUCAGAAUUGUUUUUCCUGUUUAACCCCUUCACUCAGAUGGAAAAUCUUGUCCAUUAAGGAGGUGUUCUGUUCAAGGCUUUAUAACAACAGAUGUGAGCAUCACAGAGACUUGGAAAAUGGCUUAAAUGAAGCAAGACACUUGUACUAUUUGCAAUACUAACUUUAAUUUAGUAAGAUUAUGUAUGUAUAUAUAUAUGUGUGUAUAUAUAUAUUUAUUAUAUAUGUGUGUGUGUAUAUAUAUAUAUGUUAUAUAAAAUGUUAUUAUAAAAAAUUAUAAUAAAAAUAUGUUCAUUUUUGGUGACGCAUAUGACCAUGUCACAUGGCCAGCUGCAGGCAGAAAAGAGCUGGCAGCUGUGCUGGAAAUUUCAGCUGUAUCCACCGGCGGUGAGAAGAGUCAAGAGACUAACGCACAACAUUCAGUUUAAGCUUUUAAUGUUUGCAAACAAAAGCAUACAUGAGAACACUCUUACCCAGUGUCCUGAGUUGCAGCUCAGGGACUUCCCGUCUUAUAGGGGUUUGGGUCUUGUAAAACAGAUAAUUCAUGCUAGGCGGUUUGAAGCUGAUGGGCAGAAAGGCUAUCUGAGGUGUUGCAGCUGUGUGUACAUCAAGGAUACAUUUUUGUGUUUGGGGGGUCCAACCUUGGUACAACCUGAGGAAGGACAAACAGACACAUUCUCAGGCACGCGAUGCUCUGCACGUGUUCCUCCCCCCUCAACCAGCAAUUUACAUCAAUAUAUACACAAGCGUCAUUUUUCUAUCACACGGCCCAUUUAAAACAGGUUUAAAUUGCUUGACAACUUAAACUACGGCUGUGCCAUUCAAAUUUAUUGUUCAUUAAAUUCAAAAUAAUGUAAUAUUGUAAAAAGUUCUAACAGUGCCAUGAAAAACUAUUUGCCCACUUCCUGAUUUCCUCCAUUGUUGCAUAUUUGUAAAAACUGAAUGGUUUCAGAUCUUUAGACAAAAUGAAAUAAUAGACAAAGGCAACCUGAGUAAACACAAAACACAUUUUUAAAAUUAUUAAUUUAUUGCAUGAAAAAAGAUUUCAAACAUCCAUAUCGCCCUAGUGAAAAAGUAACUGCCCCCUUAGUUACUCAAUCAACCUAAUUUAACUGAUAAUUAGAUUGAGCAGUUUGAACAGAACCAGGCCUCACUGCAACCAGCCCUGCUGAGUCUAAACCUCACUCAUAUUGAGCCUUACCAUCAGAGUGAAAUAGUCACCACAAAGUUCUGCAAGCAUAGUUUGCACAGGGAAGCAGUUUUAUUUGCUUUUACAUGAACGUUAAACAAGCAUGACUCUAAAAAUAAACGGUAUACACCAUCAAUCAAUUGAUAAAUUCUCCCAAAAGACUGGGUUACACGGUGGUUAGGGUGCUGGGCUGUAGAGGUUAAGAUGCUGGGCUGUAGUCUAGUGGUUAGGGUGCUGGGCUGUAGUCUAGUGGUUUGGAUGCUGGGCUGUAGUCUAGUGGUUAGGGUGCUGGGCUGUAGUCGAGUGGUUAGGGUGCUGGGCUGUAGAGGUUAGGAUGCUGGGCUGUAGUCUAGUGGUUAGGGUGCUGGGCUGUAGAGGUUAGGAUGCUGGGCUGUAGUCUAGUGGUUAGGGUGCAGGGCUGUAGAGGUUAGGGUGCUGGGCUGUAGCCUGGUGGUUAGGGUGCUGGGCUGUAGUCUAGUGGUUAGGGUGCUGGGCUGUAGAGGUUAGGGUGCUGGGCUGUAGAGGUUAGGAUGCUGGGCUGUAGUCUAGUGGUUAGGGUGCUGGGCUGUAGUUUAGUGGUCAGGGUGCUGGGCUGUGGUCUAGAGGUCAGGAUGCUGGGUUGUAGUGGUCAGGGUGCUGGGCUGUAGUCUAGUGGUCAGGGUGCUGGGCUGUAGUUUAGUGGUCAGGGUGCUGGGCUGUGGUCUAGAGGUCAGGAUGCUGGGUUGUAGUGGUCAGGGUGCUGGGCUGUAGUCUAGUGGUCAGGGUGCUGGGCUGUAGUCUAGUCAUUCAGGUGUUGGGUUGUAGUGGUCAGGGUGCUGGGCUGUAGUCUAGUCAUUCAGGUGUUGGGUUGUAGUGGUCAGGGUGCUGGGCUGUAGUCUAGUCAUUCGGGUGUUGGGUUGUAGUGGUUAGGAUGCUGGGCUGUAGUCUAGUGGUCAGGGUGCUGGGCUGUAGUCUAGUCAUUCAGGUGUUGGGUUGUAAUGGUCAGGGUGCUGGGCUGUAGUCUAGUCAUUCAGGUGUUGGGUUGUAGUGGUCAGGGUGCUGGGCUGUAGUCUAGUGGUUAGGGUGCUGGGCUGUAGUCUAGUCAUUCAGGUGUUGGGUUGUAGUGGUUAGGAUGCUGAGCUGUAGUCUAGUGGUCAGGGUGCUGGGCUGUAGUCCAGUCAUUCAGGUGUUGGGUUGUAGUGGUUAGGGUGCUGAGCUGUAGUCUAGUGGUCAGGGUGCUGGGCUGUAGUCCAGUCAUUCAGGUGUUGGGUUGUAGUGGUCAGGGUGCUGGGCUAUAGUCUUGUGGUUAGGGAGCUGGAUUGGUUGCCAAAAGGUUGAUUGGUGGGCCCUUGAUUAAGGCCUUUAAAGCUACAUUGGAGAUUCACCCCUGCUUAAUGCAACAUGUCAGUCACUUUGGGUAAAAGCUGAUGAUAUAUAACUUUGUUAAGUACUGUAAAUGUCCUGUCCUGUGUUCUUCGUGUCUGAGGAGAGCUGUGUUGAUGGACUGACAUUUGCAGGUUCUUUCUCUCUCUCCCUCUGACUUCCCCUGUCAUUCUCUCUCUCCCUCUGACUUCCCCUGUCAUUCCCUCUCUCCCACUGACUUCCCCUGUCAUUCUCUCUCUCUCUCUGACUUCCCCUGUCAUUAUCUCUCUUCCUAUCUCCCUGUUGUGGACAGCUCUGUAGUUGGUGCCCUGAAAGUUCUUCCAAUCUGAUUAAGUGUGCAUGUGUGGCAGCGUUCCCAUUGAACUUAGUUCUGCCAGCAGCCUUAAUAAUGGUCCCACACUGUGUACAUACCACCUAUAAAUUCAGCACACACCACACAUUACUAUUAGAGUUUCUGCUGAGAUCAAGGGAACCAAUGAUGGAGUCCAAAAAAGUCUUCUUCUUAGUGCUCUAUCUCCUCUUGUACAGCAGCUUCUCAACUGCCGAUCUCAAUCCAGACCUUGUAAAUCAAGUGGAAAAGGGGAUAGACACCAGUGUCAAACUAUUGGAAAGUCUUGAUGCACUGGCAAAGUUAACCGAAAAAGUGGAAGAAGGAGCAAAGACCAUCCAAAAAGUCUUGCAAGUCCUUGAUAAGCUGGCAAAGAUUGCAUCAGCUCUUAGUUUUGUUGGAGCAUUGGUGAGUUUUAUCUUUGCUUUUAUCCCCCAGCAAGAUCCAACUUUGGAGUUCAUGAAAGUCCAGUUUUCAGAGGUCAACAGGAAACUGGACUCCCUUGCACUCCAAAUAAACUCUCUGGCAGAAAAAAUGGAAUGGACAGCGUAUGCCAGUAUCUAUUCAAGGGAUGAGAACAACAUCAAGAACUCCUGGACCAAACUGAGAGAGUUCAUAGACAGUGCUGCUAAGGCAGAAACGGAAAAGGAGAAGACCAGAUUAGCUGAAAGAUUCACCACUUUCUAUGAGAACACUGGAACAGAGAACAGCGUUUAUAACUUUCACAGUUACCUGACUGAGAACAACCCAGCCAGCCUGAAUAAGAACCUCUUAGUACUUGUCACUGAAAAGUCUGAAGGGAAUUUUAAGACCCUUGUGCAAUUUACUGCAUAUUUUACUUCUCUGAUGGUCACUGGAUUGCAGCUGAAUCUUCAUUAUUAUGCAUUGAAGGGUUAUGAUGGUAAGCUUAAAGCAGAAGAGGCAGUCAAACAGCUAUCCAACGUCCGGGCAAAGAUACAGGAUGUAUUGAUUGAGUGUACAGACAGCUUUGGGGUGUGGGCAGAGAAAGAUGUGCAGAAAAUUGGGACUGAGACAUUACCAGACAAUACGCAUCUUGCCUUCAGCAUCAAGGAGCACUUGGACAACAAGUUCAGCUGGUAUGAGUGGACAAUCAUUGUUCAUGAUAAAAAAGAUGAAGAGAGGACCUAUGGAAACUCAAUUAAUGUCAUAGCUCAAAACAAAGUAGUAAUACACCUCCUACACAGGGAGAAAGGGUUCAGUGUAAAUGAGGGCAUUAAAACUCAAAUGGAACAGGAGUGGAAUAGCAAAGGGCAGCUCUGUAAGGAAAAAAUAUCCCAGUGGCCUCUUAUUUUUCAGAGCACACCUAUGAAACAUGUAGAAUACAUACAUGAACCGUCAGAUUAUGCUCAAACAAUCGAUAACGGGCAUCUGCAACUAAAAUGUCCAAACGCAGUUAUACCUUCACAAACAGGUGCGAUAUACACAGACUAUAAAACCUUUACAGUAUAUUUAAAGAGUCAGAAACUUGUUGAAUAUCCUCCUUGUUCUAAUGUGAACUGUAACAAAGGUGAGUGCAGACAAAUCAAAGACACAUCAACCGGAAUCUGUAAGUGCGAGAAAAUGUUCUACGGUCCAACCUGUCAGGGAAGCGUUCAGGAUGACAUUGACUAUGCAAUCAUGGAAACUAAGAUCAUUGGUAUCUCUUACCAGCCUGUGCCAGAUCUGACAACAAUUUAUUAUGAUCUUAAGGAAAUGAAAAAAUACAUGGAAGACGUGGUGAACACCCUACGACAAGACAUCCAGUGGACGCAAAUAUUUGUUAAAUACAUUGACGUGAUUGAGAAAUUCAGAUAUUUGGAAAAAUGUCACGCUUUUCUAAAGAAUGAAACGAUGGCUCAGGAUCAGUUUGUCUCUGAGGUUAAAGCCCUUUUUACUGAAAGCAACACAUUCCUUUACAUGCUGCACAAGUUUGAUCUAAUGAUGCAAGGGACAGGCUUUGGAGACAAAUCCAACAUCCUGGACAUUCUUCGCAAAUCACUACUCACAGAUGACCAGAGUCAAACAACAGCAUGUUCUAAAUCCUACAGCGAGAGAGUUGAUUAUUUUGUUCGGGUGAUGUUUGCCAUGGAGAUGGAAGCCGUCUUGGGGUGGGAGAAAUAUCGGCUGGUCAAACUGGAACUAGGAGACCCAGUGACUCCAAAAGAAAUGGGCUUUGGCCCUUUCAUUUCAAGUACUACUUCACUAGAAUCUCAACUGAAGAGUGACAUGGACCCCAUACCUAUAUUUAAAGAGUAUACCGCUAAGCAAUGGAGCCUGUUCAACAGGAACGGCUGUGGCUCACUCAAGGCAGAGCUCCUGUCCAACACUUACUGUGAGAAGCCCUAUCACAGCACAGACCAGCAGGAGGUCCCACUGACCUGCCAAAAUGAGUACCGGCCCUUUCCAGAGACAGAAAAGUGCUCUAAAGGAAAAUGGAGUGCCCUGCCUGUGUGUUACACUCAUCCUGAGAGGGGAAGUGCCACGUGCAAGUCUGAGAAUGGAGUUACAGUCUGUACAGCCUCCUGUUCUACUGGUUGGGCCUUUGCUGAUGGGAAGACUAGUGACACCUACCAAUGUAACAAGCAGCCCUGUCCAUCAUUCACACCCAGAGCUUGUAACAGAUGCACCAGUGAUGGUGCAUGUGGAUACAGUGAAGUCUGCCGCAAUGGUGAAUGUGUGGAUGGAUGCAGUGUGUAUAGCUGUGGGGUGAACGCACAAUGUUCUACCAGAAACCACGUCCAGAGCUGCAGCUGUGUGAGUCCAUGGAUUCCGUGGAAAAACGAGGAACCUGACAGAGAAGGCUGCCGCUACAAGGAGCUUCAGUGGAUGGGUCGCUCUUUCUCGGAUCCCAUUCCAGAAAAUGCUGUGAAAUCUCAGACUGGUUAUCAUAUUUGUCGAGCGCACGGCCCAGAUGGUGGAUGGCAUGGAGGAUGGAUCUGGAUCCAUGGCGUCAACACCUGCAAUUAUGAGUAUGACUGGCAUGAGAAAACGGCUGACAGUUUUCAGGUGCUGGUGGACCCCUGUGGUGGCAGUGGAGUGCACUGGUUGAGUGGCGGGAUAUAUGCUGACUCUGUUGAGAUUGGCCAGGCUGUUUCAUGGCCCUGGAUUACAUACGUGGUGUGCAGUCGUCAGAGCAAUGGUGUUCCAGGGAAACUCUUUAACACUAGGAGUGGACUAAAGUGUCACUAUGGCUAUGAAGGCAAGGGUGACCGUGAUGACAAUUUCUACUCCCUUGUGAAAAAAGGAUGCGUUUAGACUCACUGAAUUCUUAUGGAGAAAAUGCAAACACAUUUUGGGCCAUAUAUACGAAGUAUUUGUGAUGCUUUUAUAGACGCUAAUAAAUAUUGUUUUUCCAUAUAUACUAAGAUACAGGGGAUUUGCGCUGGCAAAACGGGAAAGUUUGCAUGUGUGGGUUAAUGCAUAUGAAAUAUCAAAUAUGAUGUGUAUUAAGGAUCAGUGUGGUCUGAUAAAUUCACUGCUUGCUCCUUUUAGUAUCUCCUGCAGAAAUAUUAAUACUGUCCUUAUAUCCACUGUAUUCUCACCAUUACUAAUAAACUCUUUGAGCAUC